CAGGGGACAGUCCAGCUGCAGCAUGGGGGCACAGAUGGGGCUGGGGCUGUAGCCCCCCCGACCUGAGACCUGACUCAGUUUAUCCUUAGGGCCAAGCAAGGAGCCUCAGCCCUAGAUGCAUCCUGGGAGACCCAGGCCCCUGGUCCAACCCUGCCUCUCUAAGAACGUUGGUGCGGACAGAACUGGACAGAACACAGCCAACCAACAGUCACAUCUGUCCCCAGCACAGCCCUGAACUGGACUACCCAACCCCAUGGACAGUGGAGGACUGACCAGCUACUCACCUGGUGUUAUGGACACUCAUAGAUUGAUUGCGCCGGCCCCACCAUGAGGGAAUCGGUUGGCACGGGGCUGCUGCCCCCUGGACACCCCCCUCCCCGCCCCCUAGCCCACAACUGUUUCCCCUCCUUCCAGACAAUGCCAUUUCCUUUGGGGGACAAGGGUCAAACACUGCAUCAUGGGUGCUAAACCAAUCUCUUGCAACUCUAGGAGGUGAUGGAGGUGUGUGCAUGUGUGUGUGUCUGUUUCUUGUGUGAGAGCGAGGGCUGGGACAGGAGCAGGGGGAGAGGGGCUGCC